rnacentral:rRNA from 1 species
GGGAUGGCAGUGGCGGGUGCUAUAAUGCAGUCGAACGAGUUCUGAUUAUUGAAAGGUGCUUGCAUCUUGAUUUAAUUUUGAACGAGUGGCGGACGGGUGAGUAACACGUGGGUAACCUGCCCUUAAGUGGGGGAUAACAUUUGGAAACAGAUGCUAAUACCGCAUAAAUCCAAGAACCGCAUGGUUCUUGGCUGAAAGAUGGCGUAAGCUAUCGCUUUUGGAUGGACCCGCGGCGUAUUAGCUAGUUGGUGAGGUAACGGCUCACCAAGGCAAUGAUACGUAGCCGAACUGAGAGGUUGAUCGGCCACAUUGGGACUGAGACACGGCCCAAACUCCUACGGGAGGCAGCAGUAGGGAAUCUUCCACAAUGGACGCAAGUCUGAUGGAGCAACGCCGCGUGAGUGAAGAAGGCUUUCGGGUCGUAAAACUCUGUUGUUGGAGAAGAAUGGUCGGCAGAGUAACUGUUGUCGGCGUGACGGUAUCCAACCAGAAAGCCACGGCUAACUACGUGCCAGCAGCCGCGGUAAUACGUAGGUGGCAAGCGUUAUCCGGAUUUAUUGGGCGUAAAGCGAGCGCAGGCGGUUUUUUAAGUCUGAUGUGAAAGCCCUCGGCUUAACCGAGGAAGUGCAUCGGAAACUGGGAAACUUGAGUGCAGAAGAGGACAGUGGAACUCCAUGUGUAGCGGUGAAAUGCGUAGAUAUAUGGAAGAACACCAGUGGCGAAGGCGGCUGUCUGGUCUGUAACUGACGCUGAGGCUCGAAAGCAUGGGUAGCGAACAGGAUUAGAUACCCUGGUAGUCCAUGCCGUAAACGAUGAAUGCUAGGUGUUGGAGGGUUUCCGCCCUUCAGUGCCGCAGCUAACGCAUUAAGCAUUCCGCCUGGGGAGUACGACCGCAAGGUUGAAACUCAAAGGAAUUGACGGGGGGCCCGCACAAGCGGUGGAGCAUGUGGUUUUAAUUUCGAAGCAACGCGAAGAACUUUACCAGGUCUGACAUCUUU